GGAGAGAUGGCUCAGUGGUUAAGAGCACUCACCGCUCUUCCAGAGGACCUGAGUUCAAAUCCCAGCCACCCCA
rnacentral:tRNA from 1 species